GCGAGGAACCUUACCUGGGACUUAAAUGCUAAUGACGUACGUGGAAACUGGUAUUUCUUCGGACAUUUGCAAGGUGCUGCAUGGUUGUCGUCAGCUCGUGCCGUGAGGUGUCGGGUUAAGUCCCAUAACGAGCGCAACCCCUAUUGUUAGUUGCCAUCAGGUCAUGCUGGGGACUCUAACAAAACUGCCCGCGUAAGCGUGGAGGAAGGUGGGGAUGACGUCAAAUCAGCACGGCCCUUACGUCCAGGGCUACACACGUGCUACAAUGGCCGGUACAGAGGGCAGCCACUUGGUGACAAGGAGCAAAUCUCAAAAGCCGGUCUCAGUUCGGAUCGGAGUCUGCAACUCGACUCCGUGAAGUUGGAUUCGCUAGUAAUCGUAGAUCAGCAAUGCUACGGUGAAUACGUUCCCGGGCCUU
rnacentral:rRNA from 1 species